GGCUGGUCCUAGUACAGAGCUGUCUACAGCUGACUGACUACAACCAGUUAUAGAUUUCUUUGGUCCUUCUCUGCUCCCACUGCUUUACUUGACUCGCCUUUA
ensembl:misc_RNA Y_RNA Y RNA